rnacentral:tmRNA from 1 species
GUUCUUCCUUUGGAGACCAUUCCCCCCUAUAUUGGACUCGUUCGGGUUCGCCCGGACUAUGGGCAUAAACGGGCGUGUAAUAAGCGGACUGGACCCGGGUGCGAUUCCCGGCGGCUCCACCAUUCUCCUCCAGGUAUCGCUGGAGAGCGCGGGGCCGAUCAGCAUCGACAGACGUGUAAAGACGUAUUCUUUGCCUCGGCGUGGCUCACCGUUUCGGGCCAUUAAACUAACUGCGAACGAUAACUUCGCUGAAGAGUACGCGAUCGCCGCGUAAUGCGGUGCUAGCGAACUCGACCUAAACUCCUGGGGGUUCAGAUCCUCAGGCGGGGCCCGGGGGAGCCUGCCAACAGAAUCCCCCACC